UGGAAGAUGGAAGCCAAAACUG
rnacentral:siRNA from 1 species